UGGGGAAUAUUGCACAAUGGGGGAAACCCUGAUGCAGCGACGCCGCGUGAACGAAGAAGGUAUUCGUAUCGUAAAGUUCUGUCCUAUGGGAAGAUAAUGACAGUACCAUAGAAGAAAGCUCCGGCUAAAUACUUGCCAGCAGCCGCGGUAAUACGUAUGGAGCGAGCGUUGUCCGUAAUUAUUGGGCGUAAAGGGUACGCAGGCGGUUUAAUAAGUCGAAUGUUAAAGAUCGGGGCUCAACCCCGCAAAGCAUUGGAAACUCAUAAAGUUGAGUAGUGGAGAGGAAAGUGGAAUUCCUAGUGUAGUGGUGAAAUACGUAGAUAUUAGGAGGAAUACCAGUAGCGAAGGCGACUUUCUGGACACAAACUGACGCUGAGGUACGAAAGCGUGGGGAGCAAACAGG
rnacentral:rRNA from 1 species